UACGGAGGGUGCAAACGUUGCUCGGAAUCAUUGGGCGUAAAGCGCGCGUAGGCGGCUUGGCAAGUUGGAUGUGAAAGCCCUGGGCUCAACCCAGGAAGUGCAUCCAAAACUGCCAGGCUUGAAUCUCGGAGGGGGUCAGGGAAUUCCCGGUGUAGAGGUGAAAUUCGUAGAUAUCGGGAGGAACACCAGUGGCGAAGGCGCUGACCUGGACGAUGAUUGACGCUGAGGUGCGAAAGCGUGGGGAGCGAACAGG
rnacentral:rRNA from 1 species